CCAGACUCCUACGGGAGGCAGCAGUGGGGAAUAUUGCACAAUGGGGGAAACCCUGAUGCAGCGACGCCGCGUGAGUGAAGAAGUAUUUCGGUAUGUAAAGCUCUAUCAGCAGGGAAGAAAAUGACGGUACCUGAUUAAGAAGCCCCGGCUAACUACGUGCCAGCAGCCGCGGUAAUACGUAGGGGGCAAGCGUUAUCCGGAUUUAUUGGGUUUAAAGGGUGCGUAGGCGGGAGAUCAAGUCAGCGGUAAAAAGGCGGGCCCCACCCCCGUCGAGCCGUUGAAACUGGUUUUCUUGAGUGGGCGAGAGGUAUGCGGAAUGCGUGGUGUAGCGGUGAAAUGCAUAGAUAUCGCGCAGAACUCCGAUUGCGAAGGCAGCAUGCCGGCUCCACACUGACGCUGAGGCACGAAAGCGUGGGUAUCGAACAGGAUUAGAUACCCUGGUAC
rnacentral:rRNA from 1 species